rnacentral:rRNA from 1 species
UUAAGCGACUAAGCGUACACGGUGGAUGCCCUGGCAGUCAGAGGCGAUGAAGGACGUGCUAAUCUGCGAUAAGCGUCGGUAAGGUGAUAUGAACCGUUAUAACCGGCGAUUUCCGAAUGGGGAAACCCAGUGUGAUUCGUCACACUAUCAUUAACUGAAUCCAUAGGUUAAUGAGGCGAACCGGGGGAACUGAAACAUCUAAGUACCCCGAGGAAAAGAAAUCAACCGAGAUUCCCCCAGUAGCGGCGAGCGAACGGGGAGGAGCCCAGAGCCUGAAUCAGUGUGUGUGUUAGUGGAAGCGUCUGGAAAGGCGCGCGAUACAGGGUGACAGCCCCGUACACAAAAAUGCACAUAUUGUGAGCUCGAUGAGUAGGGCGGGACACGUGGUAUCCUGUCUGAAUAUGGGGGGACCAUCCUCCAAGGCUAAAUACUCCUGACUGACCGAUAGUGAACCAGUACCGUGAGGGAAAGGCGAAAAGAACCCCGGCGAGGGGAGUGAAAAAGAACCUGAAACCGUGUACGUACAAGCAGUGGGAGCCUCUUUUAUGGGGUGACUGCGUACCUUUUGUAUAAUGGGUCAGCGACUUAUAUUCUGUAGCAAGGUUAACCGAAUAGGGGAGCCGAAGGGAAACCGAGUCUUAACUGGGCGUUAAGUUGCAGGGUAUAGACCCGAAACCCGGUGAUCUAGCCAUGGGCAGGUUGAAGGUUGGGUAACACUAACUGGAGGACCGAACCGACUAAUGUUGAAAAAUUAGCGGAUGACUUGUGGCUGGGGGUGAAAGGCCAAUCAAACCGGGAGAUAGCUGGUUCUCCCCGAAAGCUAUUUAGGUAGCGCCUCGUGAAUUCAUCUCCGGGGGUAGAGCACUGUUUCGGCAAGGGGGUCAUCCCGACUUACCAACCCGAUGCAAACUGCGAAUACCGGAGAAUGUUAUCACGGGAGACACACGGCGGGUGCUAACGUCCGUCGUGAAGAGGGAAACAACCCAGACCGCCAGCUAAGGUCCCAAAGUCAUGGUUAAGUGGGAAACGAUGUGGGAAGGCCCAGACAGCCAGGAUGUUGGCUUAGAAGCAGCCAUCAUUUAAAGAAAGCGUAAUAGCUCACUGGUCGAGUCGGCCUGCGCGGAAGAUGUAACGGGGCUAAACCAUGCACCGAAGCUGCGGCAGCGACGCUUAUGCGUUGUUGGGUAGGGGAGCGUUCUGUAAGCCUGUGAAGGUGUGCUGUGAGGCAUGCUGGAGGUAUCAGAAGUGCGAAUGCUGACAUAAGUAACGAUAAAGCGGGUGAAAAGCCCGCUCGCCGGAAGACCAAGGGUUCCUGUCCAACGUUAAUCGGGGCAGGGUGAGUCGACCCCUAAGGCGAGGCCGAAAGGCGUAGUCGAUGGGAAACAGGUUAAUAUUCCUGUACUUGGUGUUACUGCGAAGGGGGGACGGAGAAGGCUAUGUUGGCCGGGCGACGGUUGUCCCGGUUUAAGCGUGUAGGCUGGUUUUCCAGGCAAAUCCGGAAAAUCAAGGCUGAGGCGUGAUGACGAGGCACUACGGUGCUGAAGCAACAAAUGCCCUGCUUCCAGGAAAAGCCUCUAAGCAUCAGGUAACAUCAAAUCGUACCCCAAACCGACACAGGUGGUCAGGUAGAGAAUACCAAGGCGCUUGAGAGAACUCGGGUGAAGGAACUAGGCAAAAUGGUGCCGUAACUUCGGGAGAAGGCACGCUGAUAUGUAGGUGAAGCGACUUGCUCGUGGAGCUGAAAUCAGUCGAAGAUACCAGCUGGCUGCAACUGUUUAUUAAAAACACAGCACUGUGCAAACACGAAAGUGGACGUAUACGGUGUGACGCCUGCCCGGUGCCGGAAGGUUAAUUGAUGGGGUCAGCGCAAGCGAAGCUCUUGAUCGAAGCCCCGGUAAACGGCGGCCGUAACUAUAACGGUCCUAAGGUAGCGAAAUUCCUUGUCGGGUAAGUUCCGACCUGCACGAAUGGCGUAAUGAUGGCCAGGCUGUCUCCACCCGAGACUCAGUGAAAUUGAACUCGCUGUGAAGAUGCAGUGUACCCGCGGCAAGACGGAAAGACCCCGUGAACCUUUACUAUAGCUUGACACUGAACAUUGAGCCUUGAUGUGUAGGAUAGGUGGGAGGCUUAGAAGUGUGGACGCCAGUCUGCAUGGAGCCGACCUUGAAAUACCACCCUUUAAUGUUUGAUGUUCUAACGUUGACCCGUAAUCCGGGUUGCGGACAGUGUCUGGUGGGUAGUUUGACUGGGGCGGUCUCCUCCUAAAGAGUAACGGAGGAGCACGAAGGUUGGCUAAUCCUGGUCGGACAUCAGGAGGUUAGUGCAAUGGCAUAAGCCAGCUUGACUGCGAGCGUGACGGCGCGAGCAGGUGCGAAAGCAGGUCAUAGUGAUCCGGUGGUUCUGAAUGGAAGGGCCAUCGCUCAACGGAUAAAAGGUACUCCGGGGAUAACAGGCUGAUACCGCCCAAGAGUUCAUAUCGACGGCGGUGUUUGGCACCUCGAUGUCGGCUCAUCACAUCCUGGGGCUGAAGUAGGUCCCAAGGGUAUGGCUGUUCGCCAUUUAAAGUGGUACGCGAGCUGGGUUUAGAACGUCGUGAGACAGUUCGGUCCCUAUCUGCCGUGGGCGCUGGAGAACUGAGGGGGGCUGCUCCUAGUACGAGAGGACCGGAGUGGACGCAUCACUGGUGUUCGGGUUGUCAUGCCAAUGGCACUGCCCGGUAGCUAAAUGCGGAAGAGAUAAGUGCUGAAAGCAUCUAAGCACGAAACUUGCCCCGAGAUGAGUUCUCCCUGACCCUUUAAGGGUCCUGAAGGAACGUUGAAGACGACGACGUUGAUAGGCCGGGUGUGUAAGCGCAGCGAUGCGUUGAGCUAACCGGUACUAAUGAACCGUGAGGCUUAACCU